GAUCGACAUAAAGGGCAAGAUUUUGGAGCCCUCACUGGGGCUACCUGGGGGUCUCGGACAAAGGCCCGCCCAGGCUGGGGCGGGAAGAGACCUCGCUACCCUUCUGUUGUGUCCCUGCAGACCUGUCAGAAGAGUCCGCCUGGGAGGAAUCGAGCCUGGGAGAUCUCAGCUCGGGAGGGUCUGGAGAGCGGCGCUGGAUGGAUGGUGUUCGGGCCCAUUAGAUCAAGUGAGCCCAGUGCCUCCAGUAGCAGGAGUUUGGCAGGAUCCUGGAUGACCAUCUUUCUUCUGAUGGCAAUAGGCUGGAUGCUAGGAUAAAAUCCUGCCCAGAUACCUGCCCCAACUCUAGUCCUUAGCCUUUAGUUUAGUUGCCUGAGGCAAAGGUAGGGUGGAGGAAGAUUUAGGGAGAGACAAGUAGUCUGUCCUCUUGUUAGGGACCAGAGAGGUUGAGGGUGAAGAUGGAAUCCAUGUGUGACCCAACUACUGUCUGGUUAGGAGUGGGACCACUGAGCCUUAGGCAGUGCUUCCUCAUCCCACCUUCCCUUCCCAUCUCUGGAACUCUUCCAAUGGUGGGAUUGGGCAGCUCAAUAUGAUAAGGGGCAGGGCAGAGGGUAUGGCCA